rnacentral:sRNA from 5 species
GUUUGCACUUGUCGGGGAAGGGUGAGAACCUUCGAUUAAGGUUCGACUCGAGCGAAAGAACGUUGCCACCGGUAACGGCCCGUAGGGUGAGGAGUGAAGCGACGAAUAAUCCUUCCACCACCACCA